rnacentral:lncRNA from 10 species
GUUCCGCAGAAAGUUACAAAGUGAAAUUCAGCCCCCUCCGGAGACACCGGCGAAAUGUCAUUUUUCAGGCAGGAGCUGGGGGGGAGGCUAGCCCUAAAGGCGCUGGUUACUGGCCAAGGUAGGGGGGCAGUAAAUUAACUUAAAAGUCUGAGCCCAGUAACGGACUCGGUGGAAUUUCUGCGAGAAGAGGAGGGGGAGGCGCGAGCGAGAUCAUUGAAUAUUAAGCACGACCCCGCGCGGCGGCCGCGGCCAAACCGUCUCCGUGCAAUACCCAUUUUCUUUAUGAAAAGUUCAAGGUGUCACUGAUGAGCUCAACAAACUGUUGAUCUUGACCACGUGGAGUGGCGGACCGUGGGACCGAAGGGCGCGCUUGCAGGCCCGGCUCUGGCGGUACCCGGGCCCCGGGACCCUUUGCGUGGGACUGUGCGCGGGUGGGGCCACCACGCACCCUGGGCGCUGCCUGCGCCUUGGCCCGGCUUCAGGCUCAGGAAAAUAAUAAUAACGAUUUUAAAACUAUGUUGAGCGAGACACAUUUUACUCCCGGAAUGAUAAUGAGAAGGCUCGGCGUAGGGAGGGGAAGAAGGAGCCCCCCACUUAUAUAACGACUUGAAGUUAUAUCACUUUUGCUUGGGGAGAUUCCGGGAUUUCCGCCCGCGCCAGGUCUGAGGCUGGUUAAAGAUCUUCAAACUUUUUUCCCUUAAGAGCCAAUAAACAAACAGACGCCCCAGGGGCCGACUUAAACUCUGGUAGAGCCCGAGUUCGCUGGAAUUCUCAGAUUCGAAGAAAUGCACACGCCUGCGGUGCUCGCAGAGAAGUCCCUCGGAAGCUAGGCGGGUCGCUUUCGCAACUGGGACUCCAAUGUUCCCAGUGGGAGCGGAGCUCUCACCGCGGCAGCCCCCAGGUUCCCCUAGGCGCCUUAGAGCAAAGGUGGCGGGGGAUCGCGCUGCCCUUCGCCCGCCGGCUCGGAACCAUGAACUUGUAUUCCGGGCGCCGCGCUCCUGCCACAGUGCUCGGCUAAAGAGCUCUAAGGAAUUCGGGAUCUGGGUACACUUCGGGAUCUCAGGCGGCAACCUGUCUGCGCCGCGCAUUCCUGCCCAGAUGUACCUUGUUUCCCCCUGGGCUGGCCUGUGGACUCUUGGGCAGCUCCCGGGCGGGGACGAGGGGAUGCGGUCUGGGGGCUAGUUUAGAAGCUUCGAGCGCAGCGAGAAAACAAAGGGAGCCUGGGGCUGGGAGGCUCUGCGGAGUCCCCGCCCGCCCUGCAGAUUAGCAGGCGCGUCGCGUCGGGGCUUCCCGGGCAGCUCUGCUCUGGGGAAUUAGAACGAACUCUAGCGGCCGUUUGCAACUCGGCUGUGGGCGCGAGGGCAUCAACAGGUGGCCGUGUGCAGCGGAGAGGCCAAUGGCGAGGACCCGGACUGGGGGUCCUGCUGCCAUGCUGUGAGAAGCCGAAGUUUCAUGGAGAGGCCACAUGGAGUGAAAACAAAGGUGAUAGGGACAAUAGCUCCACCUGAGAUCCUGAUUAAUACACAGACUUUAGCCAUCUUGGAUGCUCCAGCCUAAUCGAUCUCCCACUUGACUCUAGUCUCACCUGACAUUAUGUAGAGGAAAACCAUCCAGCUCCACCUAGUCAACCCACAGAAUAAUGAGAUGAUCAUAAGACUGUAGUUGUUUAACAUUAUUAACUUUUGGGGUGGUUUAUUACACAGUGAUAGAUAAAUAAAAUGGGAGUUAUUAUCCGUGUCUUUAUUUGCACAUAUAUCUGAAUAUUUCAGAUCUACUUCCCCCUGAACUCUGCAGGGUAUAGGUAGCAUUGUGAAAUAUUGGAGGCCAGGACAAGGGGUAGAGAGGCCUCUUGGUCCAUGAUGCCUGAGCUGGCCCACUCUCCAAAUCAAAGCUUUUCUUGAUUUUAGUUGUUGCUCAUGAAGGAUCCCGCGCCACAGGUCCCAGAUCCUAAGCAAAUAAGAACUCAUUUAUCAAGCAUAGAUACUCAGUAGGUACUGGAGUUAAGUUCCUG